rnacentral:lncRNA from 1 species
GGCUAAACAGGUACUGAAUUACUUCUGAUUGCACAGCCAAACCUCUUCAGCAGGAGAAAGAUAUUUUGUUUACUUACCUAGAUCUACACUAACAGUUGGGUGCAAUUUAUUUAUCAAGGUAUAAAAUUUGACAGAGAGUGCUCAAUGCCGCCUCCAAGGUGGCAGGAUAAGCACCCUGAAUAAAGAGCUCCAUAGGUAAGGGAGAGCCACUGAUUUACUAGGAAGAGAAAACAAUUCAAGGAGACAAUUCAGAGGAAACUUCUCCUGCCUGUGUGGAGCCACAGAUGUGCACUGGAAGGCUCUGAGUCAAGCUCUGUUGAAACAAGCUCUUUCUCAAGUCCUUUUUUUAUCACCAGCUUCAAUCCCAGGGUCAGCUUUGAUUUGGGUGAGUCAGAAACAUAUUUAUCUCUGAAAUUCUCCUCUGUGCCUGGGAAUGAAGGGUUCCUCCUCAUCUCAGAAGAAAGAGAGAUUUAAACAAUAGCAGUGCCAAAAUGAAAAUAGAAGAUGGUGCCUUCUCUGGGGUUGGAACCAAGAGAGUUGGUGGUACCUGGUCAUGGUGCUGCAAGACAUACACGAAGUCCUUUCCCCUUUGGAGAUGACAUGGAUGGGAAAUGGCUCAUUGUAGCAACAGGAGACAACAACAAUUGCAUCACAGUAAAGCAAACAUCAAAGCACAGUCCACGCCAAAGAGCUGGGGGAAAAAUUCAUAUGUGACACUCUGACGUGUUGAAGUCCAGCUUGGGAGGGUUUUGGCAACACAGAAAUGAAGAGCAAGCAGUUGCCAUUUCCCAGACCUUGUUUGUCUUGGUGUUUGUGUGAAGCAGCCUGGGCUGAGGACACGAUGGACCUGCAGCCUUUCACAUCCCUGUGCCUGUGACAGCCCUCCAGGGCCACUGCACAGCCAGGCUGCACUGGAUGGAAUUGUUUAAAAAAGCAGCUCUGAAAGACUGAACCAAACUGGAACCUGCCUUUCACUAAGCACUAAUAACCUGUCUGACAGCCCACGUAUAAAAAUUACAGUGCUUAUUGUUGAUGUUUAUUUUCACUUUAAUAAGGAGUUGCUGUAGGUAGCCAGCCUGAUUAAGUAUUUUAACAACUCCCUUCUGAAGGUAAUUAAGUUCUGCAGUGAAAUGUAAGGAAUUUGGCAUCAAAAAACCAUUAAGGCAGAUAUUUUAAAUGAAUAAACAAACAUAACUCUUUCCA